rnacentral:rRNA from 1 species
AGUGAACGCUGGCGGUAGGCCUAACACAUGCAAGUCGAACGGCAGCACAGUAAGAGCUUGCUCUUACGGGUGGCGAGUGGCGGACGGGUGAGGAAUACAUCGGAAUCUACUUUUUCGUGGGGGAUAACGUAGGGAAACUUACGCUAAUACCGCAUACGACCUACGGGUGAAAGCAGGGGAUCUUCGGACCUUGCGCGAUUGAAUGAGCCGAUGUCGGAUUAGCUAGUUGGCGGGGUAAAGGCCCACCAAGGCGACGAUCCGUAGCUGGUCUGAGAGGAUGAUCAGCGACACUGGAACUGCGACACGGUCCAGACUCCUACGGGAGGCAGCAGUGGGGAAUAUUGGACAAUGGGCGCAAGCCUGAUCCAGCCAUACCGCGUGGGUGAAGAAGGCCUUCGGGUUGUAAAGCCCUUUUGUUGGGAAAGAAAAGCAGCAGGUUAAUACCCCGCUGUUCUGACGGUACCCAAAGAAUAAGCACCGGCUAACUUCGUG